rnacentral:lncRNA from 1 species
AGAGCCCUCCACUCACCCCAGCCCACCCACCGUCCUUACUGCCCUGGACCUCGGCCUCCUGACAAUAAGGGGUUUCUGGGUGUUUUCUGCUGGCCCUUCCCGCAAAGACCGUCAUGUCUUUCAACUGCUUACGCUGAAGAAUUGCAGCUCAAGCCACCAAAUGUUCUUAACAAAAGUGUUGAUAACAUAACAGCUUUCCAAGUAAAUCCAGAGCCUUCUGUUUCCAAGGGAUGGUUAGUGGAGGGAGUGGGGAGGGGUGUGUGUGCUGUUGGGGGAGAGGGAGGCAAAUUACUUUUGUUCACCGCAGGACCUGUUCCGGGUUUGCCCGCCUCCCCAGGUGCUCUGCUGACUGGAGACUUUUCCAGCAGGGCCGGCUUCCAGGCGGGUGACCAUCAGAUUCAAAUCACUUCUGCUCCCCAGCUCAGCACUGAGGCCCAGGUGCCUGCUGGAUUCAGAACGUGGCCGCUCCUUCCUUCAAGAAAUCUCUACUUAGCACAGCCAGGGCCCGUACAGUUGUCAUUAGGAGGUCUCUCCCGCAUGCCCACUGUGUGCUCAGCUCAGAAGGGAGUGUGCUAUAGAGGAGACGUGUGAGAAGAAAAGAAGUUAUCUGCUAGCAGCCCACUGCAGGAUAAACUCGCUGUGGGGAGAAGGGUUUUGGUUAGGAACACACAAGGGCAUGCCUGGCUGACCUCUGUGUUAUGAGUUGCUGUGCGUGAAACUUGAAUGGUGGCGUUGCAGGCAUCGCUGUCAGCUGGCGAACUUGACAGUAUGUUUGGAGGGGCCUGGCUGUGUCCAGAGGUGGGUUUUGUCUCUAGAUCAAGAGACAACAGUGUUUUCACCAUGUAUCUCUCUCCUUGGCCCUGCCAUGAGCAGCUGACCAUUGGCCAGAUUGAGACCAGAGACCACAGGCUUUUUAAAAAAUAUAUAUUUAUUUAAUUUAUUUGACUGUGCUGGGUCUUUGUUGCGGCACACAAGAUUUUCAGUCUUCAUGGCGGCAUGUGGGGUCUUUAGUUGUGGCAUGUAGAAUCUAGUUCCCUGGCCAGGGAUCAAACCCGGGCCCCCUGAAUUGGGAGCAUGGAGUAUUAGCCACUGGAGCACCAGGAAAGACCUCCCUGACCACAGGCCUUUUAAUGUCUGUCCCGAAGCUGUGCUCUGGCCUCUGUACUAUGUUGUCCCCUUCCGGAUAAUUAACACCCAUCCUAAGACCAUGAUUGGCACCAAUCUUAACUACCACUGAGCAACCGUUGGGUUUUAUCCUCCAUUUUCCUUUCAUGCCUAGUUGGGGUCUGCCGGAAAAUCCUCUUGGCCUUUUAAAAACUGAGACUAUUUUGAGAAUGUACUUAAAUCUAUUGAAUUGUACACUUAGAAAUAGUUAAAAUGGUAAAUUUUACUUGAUGGGCGUGGCGCAACGCAUGUGCCCUCCGUCGUGCCCGACUCUUUGUGACCCUGUGGCAUUAGUCCCAGGCAGGAACAAUCCAAGCCAGGGGGAGGCGCAGCCAUUCCUGCUGAAACAGAGCAGCACCCUAGAGUCCUUGCCCCCAUGUCCUCAGCCUGCCUUUUGCCUGCGGAAAAAACUUUAGCCAAAGAGUGAGUUUAAUCAGAGAAAUGAGAAAUGCAGAAACAAAGGAAAACAGUCAAAGGAGACCAAAUGAUAAUACUGUGGGCAUUACGCAUAGUCAAGGACCUUGAUUUCCUUCUCAAGGGAUAUAGAUAAUACUCUGACCAUAUCCUGUGAGCUGUCUCAUAGAUACUGAAACCCCCACCAGCUGGGAGAAGUUAACUCCACGAUGAUCAGAUUGUGUAGACACAGGCUGCCACAAUUCUGAGAAUUGGCCUCAAAGAAAUGGAAACAAACUGACCCAGGAACUGAAGAGUAACGGUACCUAAAACAACCAAGGUGACGUUGGUCAGACCACUGAUGACCAACCUGAAGAUGACUAUCAGAGCUGACUACUGUUUCUGCAUGUGGCCCCCUCCCUCUGCCUAUAAAAACUCUUGCCCACUGCUUGUCCGGGGUUGGGGAGUUGAUCUUUGGACAGGGGUCUGUCCUGUCCGGUUGCUGGCAUCCAAAAUAAAGCCAAC